ensembl:lncRNA
UUCUGUGAGCUUACUUAUAAAGUUUCUCCAAGAAAGUUUACAUUUACAUGCAAUGGGCAGAAAAGUCUAUUUCACGUAAAAGACAAAUUCAGGAUCUGGAAAGACUGUUUUUAUUGGAGAGUUAAAACAGAAAAUCAGUCUGUCUUACUGAGUCAGUUUUUGACUAUGGGUGCAGAACUUGAGACACAAAUUGCUGGUUUUCUGAGCAAAUCUGGUUCCCAUUGACUACACUGGUACUACAGAGUGGCCAGCAGCUUGCUGCUCAAUGAUCUAACUGCUUUGAGCUCAGUUCUGAAACCAAGAAAUCAAAAAGCAGAAGUACGCUUUGGAAUGACAAUGAUUCUUAGGUUCUUAAUAGUAGUUUCUUCAGAUAUAAAGCAGAGAUGUCUUGGCUUUCACCCAGGAUCUGAUGAGCAUUCAGAACUCAGCAUUUCAGUAGCACUGUUUUGUUCUGAAAGAGUCCUUGAGUUAUGUUUAGCCUUUAGUAUGAGGAUUUUGUUCUUGCUGGGUUAAUUACAAAUGUAAGGCCACUAAGGCCUCGAGCAUUAAACAGUAGUUUUGUUUUUCCAAUAGAAUUUUUCAUUUGCAUCUUUCCCCAAGUUCUAAAUCUGUUUCUAGACCUCAGAGUAGUGUGUAGUGAUAAAUAUUUUUAAAUAAAAUUCAUGACAUCAGAGUGUUCCUUGAUUUGAAUUUGAAGCCAGGCAGUGUUAGCAUAUAAUGCCCAGACCAAUAAUUGCUACAAAUUGAUGUUAAAUUCAUGACAGUUGCUUCUUAACUUACACCUGUAGAAAUAAAUGAAGUCAUUCUCCUCUACUUAAUUCUCUAUGAAAGUAAUGCCUCCUGUUUAUUUCCAUGGAAACUACAAUAGCUACAAAUUUGAUAGAGCAAAUUCUCAGCUACAAAAAAACCUGUUUUUCAACAUAGGCACCAUCAUUAGCUACACAUUUUCACCAGCAAUGAACAAGAACCUGCAUGCUGCACUCAGAAAAAUCUGCACCAGCUGAGGUGACACAGUUGGUGCUGCUACUGCUGAAACACACCACUCACUGUGUCACUGUGCUCACACCUGCUACUUGGUCUCCAUCAGCAUUCAGCAAACAUCAGUGAAUGCCAAUGGGUGUCAUUUUUUCCACAUCAAGGAAUUCAACCCCAGACCUUUAUUUCAGAAGCACUUCCCUGUCAGAUGCCAUUUUGUCAGACUGCCCCUUUGUUGCCAUCUGUUACAUGGCAACAAAAUGUAAUGGGAUAUUGGUGAGAAGGUUCAGCCUCUACUGCCAUACCACCACCAUCUGCCUGUGACAUCAUGGACCAACAAAACAAAAUAGGACAAAAUAGGAGGCAUUACUUUCAGAGCAGCUUUCAUGUAUUAAAAAUAGGCUUUACUUGGAUUAUUAGAAUAUCAAGUGGUGCUUAUAACGUGUGUUGAUAUAUACAUUUAUCAUAGUUUUUACAUACCUUGCAUAUUUGAGUGCCUGAAUUAGACUGAUUGGGGAAUGAGUAAGAUGAAGGUAAUAUUAUGAUGAAAAGAUUCCUAGGAAAAUCAUUGCUGACUUUUUUUUUUAAAUACAUUAUACAACAAUCUGAAUUAAGAGCCAAAGUCCCUUGCAUAUCCCAGACGGUGUACCAUUUUCCCUUACAAUGUUCUCCAACUGUGCUCAUUGAAGCUGAAGGCAUAGGUCUAGAAAAAAACUGUACGUUACAACCUCAAAAAUGAAAAUUUAGUUAUAUAUUUAAUAUUAUAAUACAUAAAUAUAUUUAGUUAUAUAUUUAAAAUAUAAUGUAUUUAGUUAUAUAAUACAGAUAUGGCAAUUUUAAGAUCAAAUUUUAUAUGACUCAUUUAUUUUAUUUCUAGUAUUUAUUAUGCAUUUUCUGAACAGUAGUCUAGGAGUGUUUUAAACUGUUGAAAAUGCGAGAUGCAUCAUUCUUUUAAUUUUGCUAAAGGCUUGUUUUUUACCCUAAGAAUCCCUAGAGCACAUCUUCUAAGCUUUGUUUGGGUGAAGUUUUAUGUCCUCAGAGCAAAACAUUGCAAACAGAAUGAUAUAGUUGUGAUUAAUAUGCUGUGUAUGGGGACAUCUGAAAUCGUAGGAGUUCUCAGAUUUGCCUCUGCAAGAGCCAAAAUGCACUGACUAGGUGUUUUAAUAUGAGACCAGGUUUGUUUGUUUUUGACAAAGGACAGAGACAGCUUCCUGAGUACUAAACUUAUGUGCAGCAACUUGGAUCAUGAGAAUUAAUCUGGUAGCAUAUCUAAUGAUACAAGCUGUUCCAUGUAGGAGACAGGAGUCCCUCUUCUACAAAUAGCUUUUCAAAACUGGCUCUUAGACACAUGCAACUAACCCUACACAUUUAUGCCUAUAGCUACUAGCAAUCUGAAUUGCAACACAUGCAAGACUCUCCCAUACACAAAGAAUGCCUAUUACACGGUUCUGUUAUUUCACAUAGCCAGAACUUCAACACAGAAAAAUGUUACAUAUACGUUUCUGAGUUUGAGACAUGUGAGCAUGAUAAAUACAGAAUAUUCUGAAACUAUCAAAAAAAAAACCAGCUCAGUGUCAAGUAUAAGGGUGAUGAGCUGUGCUCCUUCAAAGUAGAGCACUGAUACAGCAUUCCCUCCUGCCUAUAGGCCAUAGGGAUCUAUGCUGGUUUCCUGCUAAGGUACAGCUGGGUUUAUCUGAGAAUUCUUCUGUUCUUGAUUCAUGGCAUUAUUUUUUUUUGGUCUUGCUUUAUCAGUCUGAAUCUGUAUUGUGAUUGUUGGGCUGCAUCUAAUAGUGGUUACUCUCUCUGAAUGUAACCUGUGAUUUUGUUUUCUGGCUUGGCCUUGGACCCAAUUUGUCACCAUGGAUGUCUGUUGAAUCUGGCUGUUUUCCCUGGCUCUGUCCUGCUUGGGUGUUGUGAGGCUAGAUCUCGGCUAGUGAGGCCCUUGCCCUGCUGUCUGUGGUAUCAGGUUUAAGUCUGCAUUCCUUACGGAGCAGCUGAUUCUGCAGGCAGUUCUGCACUUGUACAACUGCUUUUAUUUCUUGCACGUUGAUCUCUAGACUUUCUCUAAGAGCCAUCUAAGGAGUCAGAGCUAUUGCUGAAGUCUAGCUAUGUGAUUUCAAGUACUUCUCUAUUACUCUCAAAAGCCUAUUACAUUCUUAAAUAAGGUAUGCAAGUAGAUAUCACUUGAUGUACUUUUAACAAAUGUUUGCUAGUUAUUAAUAUCCCUACUGAAAUUUCAAUGUUUACAAAUACUCAUUUAAGUACCUCAGGAAACUGUUAGUAAGCUGCUGUCUUUAUCCCAAGACGUUCCUGUCUUGCUCCAAUUUACAGGAGGGAGAGGAGGUUCUUUGAAAUAUGUAUACCCGGCGUGAGAUUAAGAAACAACGGUUCAGACGUUGGUCCGACCAGCUUAUAAAAUCCUUAAUAAGGGGGAUGGGGAAAGGGAGGACAGACACUAUUACGGAUUGGGGUGAUGGGGAAGGGAAGGCGGGCGAUAGAAAAGAUAGAAAUAAGCAAGAAUUGUGUAAAGCGGGGAUAGUCACCACCAGGAUCCGGCAGUAGUCCCGUUGCACGACGUUCCGAUGGUCCGGGGCAAAAGCGCAGGGGAAGAGCAGCAGCGGUGUGGCCGGUCUUAGGCAGCGAGAAGGUGCAGGCAGGUACCGAGUAGGUCCAGGAAGAAGUCUGGGCGGAAGCAGCAGGUCUCCGGUAGCAGGCCCUGGAGAGUCAGUCAGCAUGCAGGCCUUUUGUAGUGAGGGAUCUGAUGGCAGACACCUUCUCGGAGGGGUGAGCAGCAGCAGAGAGGCCAUCCUUAGGCAGCAAGCAGGCCUCUUCUAGAGUUAAUGAAUGCUUUCCAACUUCGUAUGCAAAGGGUAAAUUGCUCUGUGAUCCGGGUGGAGUACAAUGGAAGAGCCUUCCCAGCCUUUGUGUGUGAGUUUCCCUGCAAGGAGAUAAGAGCCCAUGGUGAGCUGAGAUAUACCCACAUCCCUUCCUGGCAGACAGUGAACUGGUCUGAAAAGAAACAAAGGUUCAUGGCAAGAGAGCAACAGCUUAAGAG